CACGGGGGGAGCAAGCGUUGUUCGGAAUCACUGGGCGUAAAGGGCGUGUAGGCGGUCAGGUUAGUGAGAUGUGAAAUGCCCCGGCUCACCCGGGGACCUGCAUCUCAAACUGCCUGGCUUGAGUAUGGGAGAGGAUGAGGGAAUUCCUGGUGUAGCGGUGAAAUUCGUAGAUAUCGGGAGGAACACCGGUGGCGAAGGCGGCGACCUGGGUAGAUACUGACGCUGAGGUGCGAAAGCGUGGGGAGCAAACAGG
rnacentral:rRNA from 1 species